ACCUUUGCUCACUACGACCAGGUUCUUGACACCACCGCCAUGCUUGGUGCUGUCCCACCAAGGUAUGGAUACACCAGUGGUGAGAUCGGGCUUGAUGUUUACUUCUCCAUGGCCAGAGGAAAUGCCUCUGUUCCCGCUAUGGAAAUGACCAAGUGGUUUGACACCAACUACCAUUACAUCGUCCCUGAGUUGGGCCCUGAGGUCAACUUCACUUACGCUUCCCACAAGGCCGU